AUAGGGGAGCCGGAGGGAAACCGAGUCUUAAUUGGGCGUUAAGUUGCAGGGUAUAGACCCGAAACCCGGUGAUCUAGCCAUGGGCAGGUUGAAGGUUGGGUAACACUAACUGGAGGACCGAACCGACUAAUGUUGAAAAAUUAGCGGAUGACCUGUGGCUGGGGGUGAAAGGCCAAUCAAACCGGGAGAUAGCUGGUUCUCCCCGAAAGCUAUUUAGGUAGCGCCUCGUGAAUUCAUCUCCGGGGGUAGAGCACUGUUUCGGCUAGGGGGCCAUCCCGGCUUACCAACCCGAUGCAAACUGCGAAUACCGGAGAAUGUUAUCACGGGAGACACACGGCGGGUGCUAACGUCCGUCGUGAAGAGGGAAACAACCCAGACCGCCAGCUAAGGUCCCAAAGUCAUGGUUAAGUGGGAAACGAUGUGGGAAGGCCCAGACAGCCAGGAUGUUGGCUUAGAAGCAGCCAUCAUUUAAAGAAAGCGUAAUAGCUCACUGGUCGAGUCGGCCUGCGCGGAAGAUGUAACGGGGCUAAACCAUGCACCGAAGCUGCGGCAGCGACACUCAGGUGUUGUUGGGUAGGGGAGCGUUCUGUAAGCCUG
rnacentral:rRNA from 1 species